UAAUACGUAGGUGGCGAGCGUUAUCCGGAUUUACUGGGCGUAAAGCGCGUGUAGGCGGUUUCGUAAGUCGGAUGUGAAAGCUCCUGGCUCAACUGGGAGAGGCCAUUCGAUACUGCGGGACUUGAGGUCAGGAGAGGGACGUGGAAUUCCCGGUGUAGUGGUGGAAUGCGUAGAUAUCGGGAGGAACACCAGUGGCGAAGGCGGCGUCCUGGCCCGCACCUGACGCUAAGACGCGAAAGCGUGGGUAGCGAACGGGAUUAGAUACCCCGGUAGUCCACGCCGUAAACGGUGGAUACUAGGUGUUGGUGACUAUCGUCAUCAGUGCCGUAGCUAACGCGUUAAGUAUCCCGCCUGGGGACUACGGCCGCAAGGCUA
rnacentral:rRNA from 1 species